rnacentral:rRNA from 1 species
GUGAGGAAUAUUGGUCAAUGGGCGAAAGCCUGAACCAGCCAUGUCGCGUGAAGGAUGAAGGUCCUAUGGAUUGUAAACUUCUUUUGCAGGAGGGUAAAGUGAGCUACGUGUAGUUCAUUGCAAGUACCCUGCGAAUAAGCAUCGGCUAACUCCGUGCCAGCAGCCGCGGUAAUACGGAGGAUGCGAGCGUUAUCCGGAUUUAUUGGGUUUAAAGGGUGCGUAGGCGGACUAAUUAGUCAGCGGUGAAAUUUUGCGGCUCAACCGUAAAACGGCCGUUGAAACUGUUAGUCUUGAGUGCGGUAGAGGUAGGCGGAAUGUGUGGUGUAGCGGUGAAAUGCUGAGAUAUCACACAGAACACCGAUUGCGUAGGCAGCUUACUGGAGCGCAACUGACGCUGAGGCACGAAAGCGUGGGGAUCGAACAGGAUUAGAUACCCGGGUAGUCC